rnacentral:lncRNA from 1 species
GCUAGAUACAGAGGGUCUAGACUGAAGCUGAGUCUUGAUGGCAUCAAGCUGAGAUAAGAUCCCCCUCACAAAAAUUUGAAGCCCAUCUAGAUCAGUAGAAAGGAAGUCUUUGGAGUCUUUGAUGUCUGUCCGAAGCAGCUCAAGAGAGGAACGAAGCUGACUGUGGAGUCUCUCUAUCUCUCGAGCCAGGUCAUCCAGCUGCGGUGUAGAAGAAGUCGAUGU